AAUAAAACCCCUUACAACCCAAAGCAGUUGUUUUGGCAGAGAAGUGACAGGCUGUGAUAGAUGGGCCCGAUAGUUGUGUGUUUUGUGCUUGCUCUGAGUUAGUAGGGAAGAGGAGGGAGAGAGCGAGUGAAAGGGGGGAGGAAAAAAAAGACAGGGAAGGAGAGAGCGGGAGGGAGAGAGAUUGAGAGAGAGAGAGAGAGAGAGAGAGAGAGAGAGGCUGAGAGAGAGAGACUUGGCAAGGGAAAUCUUAUGGGUAUACUGAAACAGCAGAUCAGAAUUGUGAAACCAGAGCUAGGGCUGAAAUGUGAUGCUUUUGCUCUUUUGUGCUUGUUGUGGUUCUCAUCUUCCCAUUUAGAGGGCUGCAUACCAUUCAACAGCAUAUUUUGAUCUCAGAUUGAACAAUGCAGCAAUCAAGCCUGAUAAGCCACCUGGAAGUUUUGCUUGAGACGAUUUCUAGUGGGUUUACUGAUCCCUGUGAACAUCAUGACUGCCUUUAGCAUUGUGGAGGAGGACUCGAGUUUCUUAUGAGGGCCCCACUUGGAAAAGCCGGCUGUGCAGAAUCAAGCCUCCGGUUCUGUUCAUGCUAUUCAAAAGCCUUUCCUCACCCUUGCUGAUUUAUUUUUAUGAUUUACAUACACUCCUGUGGAGAUUUACAGAAUGGAUUGUCUGUGCAUUGUCACGACCAAGCAGAGCCAUGGCAGAGGCCCACCUCACAAAUGCUCAGUCGAAACACCUGCCUGGAUACCCAUUCAGCACUCCACCAAGAGAAGCCAGUAAUUUGGACAAAUAGAUGCAAAUCAGUUAGAUCUCCUCACCUGUCAGAACUCCUUGGAACUCAAUGUGGA
rnacentral:lncRNA from 12 species